CAACCGCCGUAUAAAAGGGUCUGGACUUCGGAAGGACCAAAUCCUCGGUUGAUCUCUCUUCACUAUAGAUCUUACAGCUAGACACCAUGAAGAACUGGUCGAAGUUAGUCACCGUGCUGCUGCUGGUGGCCUUUGCAAGCAUGGCGAUUCUCACUCCUGCAGGCGCCAAUAUAGUUCCAGCCCCAGACUGUUGCCCUCGUUAUGCAAGAUGUUGCAUUUCCCAACCAAGAAUACCAGAUUACUGCAAAGUGGUAUAUAUCCACUGUCCUUCAAGCCCUAACCAUGAGUGCUGUUCAAAUUGGGGAUAAAAGAUAUCUUUAUUUCCUAAAAGUAUCUACUUUCUACAAACUCCAUAUCAAUCAUUAUUCGUGUAAUACCUAUAUGCAUAGUAUGUACAUAUAAGAAUCAUUUAAUAAAAAAGAUACGUGCUUACAUAUGUAC
rnacentral:lncRNA from 1 species